CUUCGACUGUGUUUGCAACCUCCACCUCUGACCCAAGUGGUGAGCUACCUUCUCCUGACCCAUGGCGACGUUGGCUGCGACGGAGCUCAAAGACGGCGAUGAUGGGUUCCCUCCAUUUCUUCCGAUUCUGGUCAUGGAACUCUGGCAGUCGAGGACCCUGCAAACGGUAAUCUAAAGCCUCUUUCCCUAGUUCCUUGAUCCCCUCAUUCCUCCUUCAUCCUUCCUCGUUGUUCCUCUUAUUCGGCUCAUCAAUCUCUAUUCUCUCUUACCUCCUGAAUACAAUAUGAGAAAGGAAAGUUCAAGGGAAAAGCCAAAAGGCCACCGUCGCUUCUCCUUUGAUGAAGAAAUGGAAUUAAAUGUGAGAUAAUGACUUGGAAAUUAUGGAAAAAAGAGGAGAAGAAGGAAACAAAAGGAAAAAAAGGAAAGAAGUAAUUUAGUUUCUGAAUAAGAUGAAAAGGAAGAAGUAUGCAGCCUCAAAGGAGGGAAUGUUCAUCCAGCAAUUAAAAGGAAAGAAGAAGAAAAGAAGGAAAAAAAAAGAAAAAAGAAAGAAAUAGAGGAUCAGCCCAUCAAAAACCCUAGCAGCCCCUCCUCUCCUCCUUCUAUAAAAGGCAUGGCCUCCCUCACAAUUCACGAUCUCCAUUCUCUCACAAACAAAGCCGA